rnacentral:rRNA from 1 species
CCGGCGACCGGCGCACGGGUGAGUAACACGUAUGGAACCUGCCCGCAGCAGGGGGAUAAGCGGAAGAAAUUCCGUCUAAUACCGCGUAACAACGUUGGGAGGCAUCUCCCGAUGUUUAAAGAUUUAUCGGCUGCGGAUGGCCAUGCGGCGCAUUAGCUAGCCGGCGGGGUAACGGCCCACCGAGGCGACGAUGCGUAGGGGUUCUGAGAGGAAGGUCCCCCACACUGGUACUGAGACACGGACCAGACUCCUACGGAAGGCAGCAG